rnacentral:rRNA from 1 species
GACGUAGGGCGCGAGCGUUGUCCGGAUUUAUUGGGCGUAAAGAGCUCGUAGGCGGCUUGUCGCGUCGACCGUGAAAACUUGGGGCUCAACCCCAAGCCUGCGGUCGAUACGGGCAGGCUCGAGUUCGGUAGGGGAGACUGGAAUUCCCGGUGUAGCGGUGAAAUGCGCAGAUAUCGGGAGGAACACCGGUGGCGAAGGCGGUUCUCUGGGCCUUACCUGACACUGAGGAGCGAAAGCGUGGGGAGCGAACAGG